UAGGGAAUAUUGGGCAAUGGGCGAGAGCCUGACCCAGCCAUGCCGCGUGCAGGAAGAAGGCCUUAUGGGUUGUAAACUGCUUUUGAUCGGGAACAAAGAUACCAUGCGUGGUAAGUUGAGUGUACCGAUAGAAUAAGCACCGGCUAACUCCGUGCCAGCAGCCGCGGUAAUACGGAGGGUGCAAGCGUUGUCCGGAUUUAUUGGGUUUAAAGGGUGCGUAGGCGGCUUUUUAAGUCAGUGGUGAAAUCCUGCAGCUUAACUGUAGAACAGCCAUUGAUACUGAAGAGCUUGAGUACAGACGAGGUAGGCGGAAUUUAUGGUGUAGCGGUGAAAUGCAUAGAUACCAUAAAGAACACCGAUUGCGAAGGCAGCUUACUAGACUGUCACUGACGCUGAGGCACGAAAGCGUGGGGAUCAAACAGGAUUAGAUACCCCCGUAGUCC
rnacentral:rRNA from 1 species